CUAAAUGCAUACAUUAAGCCUUCAAGUGUUAAAAUCAGCAAUAUACAUUAAAAGAAAAAAGAGCUUUUGCUCCUGCAAAUUACAAAAAAUAAACAUUUAAAGAAAUAUAAAAUCAGACGUUAUUGUUCAGACAUAUACAUUAAACCUUCAAUAUUUAGAGCAUCCCUAAAUUCAUUCAAAAACUUUAAAGAAAAAAAAAUCUUAAAAUCAAUAAACCUAAUCUUCAUGCUCCUGCAAAUUUCAAAAACUUCAUGCUCCCUGUAAAUUCCAGAAAAAAACUCCAUUGAAGCACAAUCUUCUUGAUCCUGCAAAUUACAGAGAAAAACCCUAAAAACCCCAUUUCAUUUUCUCUCUCUAACAGAGAAAACCCUUAUUUUAAUUUCUCUCACUAAUAGAGAAAAACCCCAUUUCAAUUUCUCUCACUAAUAGAGAAAACCCAAUUUUUAUUUUCUCUCUCUAACAUAAAAAUCCCCCUUCAUUCUCUCUCUCUCAAAUAAAAUCCCCAUUAUAUUCCUCCUAUGGCCUCGGCGGCCCAAGUCAGCCCAUCCUCCCCUUUUAGCUCCAAGCCUCUCCCAUACACAAAACAGGGGCACACACAAUUUUCGAAAUACCGAGCCACUGUGUCUGCUAGUGGCCUGUCUCUUUCACUUUGCAGCGCCAUCUUUGCCUAUGAGGAAUGUGGUGGUCAUGAGAUCCUUCACCUUUGGGAUGUAUCGGGGAAACACAGGGCUUCCCAUAUUCUCUGAAAAGGAAGCAGUG
rnacentral:lncRNA from 1 species